rnacentral:tRNA from 1 species
GCCCGGGUGGCUCAAUUGGUUAAGCGUCUGACUUCAGCUCAGGUCAUGAUUUCACAGUUUGUGAGUUUGAGUCUUGCAUCAGGCU